rnacentral:rRNA from 1 species
UAUUAACCCUGUAGGUAGUAAUAAAAACUAAUAUACACUGGCGGUCUUUUUUUUCUAGAGAAACUCGCUUUAUAAUCGUAAAUACCCGUUAAUUUUAACUUUAUUUACUUAGCCUAUAUACCGCCGUUUCAGGUCUUAGAGCCUUCUAAAUCCCAUAAAAUAAAAUUCUAAUAAAAAUCAGGUCAAGGUGUAGCUAAUAAUAAAGAAAAAGUAAGUUACAUUAAAAAUAAUUUAAGAAUAUCCCACAAAAAUAAUAAUUGAAAAAGAAUUUAGAUGUACGUUAUAGUUAACAACUAAGACUGAAACCAAAAUAAAAGAUGC